UGACUUUGGUCAAAGUCAAACUGCUUCGAGUUUGACCAAGUUUAUAGAAAAAAAAUAGUAAUAUUUUCGACCCAAGAUAAAUUUAUUAUAAAAAUAUAUUUAAUUAUUAAUUUAAUAAAACUAAUUUGGUAAUGUAAAUAUUACUAUAUUUAUCUAUAAACUUGAUCAAACUUUAAGCAGUUUGACUUUGACCAAAGUCAA
rfam:Oryza nivara chromosome 12, whole genome shotgun sequence.